ACUGCAAAACAAAACAAAUCAGCGUUACCAUGGUCAUCAUCUUCGAUUCAUUCAAGUAAAAACCGGGGCUUAAUUUAGGGACAAUUAUCAAUAUUUGUGAAACUGAAUCAGAAUUUCAAUGUUAAGCAUCUUUUUUCCCUUUGGUUCAAAAUCAACAAUGGUAAUUCACACAAUGUUUACCUUACAAAUUUUGAAACGAAACAUUGUCAUUGAAUCUGUUUUUUACCCAAGGGCUAUUCCAGAAAUAUUUCUGUGGGAGGGAUGGGAGGUACUUUAAUUUAAUGGGUGGUGGGGAUAUACAGCACUGUUAUGUUUUAUCAUUUGAUGGGUGGUGGGGUUUAUACUAUCUGUAAAUAUGUUUUAUCAUUUGAUGGGUGGUGGGGUUUAUACUAUCUGUAAAUAUGUUUUAUCAUUUGAUGGGUGGUGGGGUUUAUACUAUCUGUAAAUAUGUUUUAUCAUUUGAUGGGUUGUGGGGUUUAUACUAUCUGUAAAUAUGUUUUAUCAUUUGCUGGGUAGUGGGGCCUUUGAUAAAAUGCCUCCUACCCCUGCCACAUGGAUAAUUUUGGAACAGCCCUAAAUACAUCAAUACAGAUUUUAAUCACAAGAAAAGAGAAGCUUCACAAUAUAAUAUUGGAUGAACUGAUGAUCUGGACCGGACUUCGACCUAUAUACAUCACCAUCUCACUGACAAUCAGGCCACUUUCAAUACUAGCAAUAGCUGGGCACUUCCGAUUUGUUAUGGGGAGUGCGUGAGAAAAAUGUACGACUACAACUAGCGCUGCUUGAAUACAACCAUAAGUGGUUUAUGUGCUAUGUGAAAGAUUAAACAUCCCACAACACUUAGGAAGUGUUUUAUGAGUCAAUGCCACAAUAUAUAUAUCAUAAAAAAGGCAAUUUUUUUUAUAGUUGAAACAUUCCUAAACAUUAAAGCAUGUUCUUAAUGAUAGAAAAUCUGUAAAUCUAAUUGUAUACUGCAAUUGAGAAAUAUUUCAUCUUUUUUUAGUCAGAGAAAACUUGAAUAUAUGGUGUCAGAGACGAGCUCAAGCUUUUUAGGAAAUAUUAGAAGACACAGCAAAAGGGUGUACAAGGUAUUACAGUAGCUCGUUCUCUACUGUACAAGUGACAUCUCAUAUACGGUCAUCUUGUGAAAAUUAGUAUUCAGGGUGAGAAAAACUGCUACUGGAAAUACAAUGAAAUCUACAGGAUAAUAUGUUGGGGUAUGUGUGCAAGCUGCCCCUGCUGUCCAGUCGGUUGGUAGCCUAGAAAGCCAGUAGCUGUUAGUGGGGUAAGCUGCUAGAUACACACAUGGUCAGGGAAGAUAGAGAUUCGUUGUUGGAUAAAUAUAGAUAAAACAACAAAAUCACUAGUCUUCCAGGCCAGAUAUGUCAUGUUAAUGGGAAGCAUUCCAUCACCUUCGUCAGUCGGGCCAUGCACUAGUCGACUGUGUUAGCAGUACUACAGCAGAUAUACAAGUUAGGUUAGAGGCCCUUCAUCCACAUAGGUUCUACAAAGUGUACUACAUAGUAUCAGAUAUGGUAUUUACUACCAGAUAUAUAAGUAUAGACUAUGUAAUCAGACAGGCUAGUAACAUAAUGUUAUAACUAUGUCUAUUCCAUCUCGAGGACUUUCUGUAACUAUUUUAUAAAUACUCAACAUAAUUUUACAAAUUAUUUCAUCGUCUAUAAACCUAAUCAUAUUUGAAAAAAAAAAAAAAAAUCCUAAUA